rnacentral:lncRNA from 1 species
CAUUGGCGUUUUUCUCUUUAAAGUCUCCUGUCAGCAUUUGUAGGAAAACUGGUGACACUUCCAUUCAAUGAUAUUUGUUAAAAUAAAGCUUUUCAUCACCAAUUUUGAUGGUUAAAUAAGGGACGUUGAACGGAGAUAACGAAUGGUUUAUAGAUGUGCCUGCCUGCCUGAGCUUGUUCUUCUGUUCUCAAGGUUUUGGCUGCCUGCUCCAUGAUAAAGUAUCUUAAUAAGAUCGAAGACCGUGAUAUUU